CGGAGGGUGCAAGCGUUAUCCGGAUUCACUGGGUUUAAAGGGUGCGUAGGAGGGCAGGUAAGUCAGUGGUGAAAUCUUCGAGCUUAACUCGGAAACUGCCGUUGAUACUAUCUGUCUUGAAUCCCGUGGAGAUGAGCGGAAUAUGUCAUGUAGCGGUGAAAUGCUUAGAUAUGACAUAGAACACCAAUUGCGAAGGCAGCUCGUUACACGAAGAUUGACUCUGAGGCACGAAAGCGUGGGGAUCAAACAGGAUUAGAUACCCUGGUAGUCCACGCCCUAAACGAUGGAUACUCGACAUACGCGAUACACUGUGUGUGUCUGAGCGAAAGCAUUAAGUAUCCCACCUGGGAAGUACGACCGCAAGGUUG
rnacentral:rRNA from 1 species